UACCCCCCAAGCUUAAUCGGAAAGAAAGAAGGACCAUGUGGACCUUUCGGUCCUAGUUUGUUGAGAAUGGAGAAAGAGUGGCCGUAGUAAAAGACUCUGGGGACAUUUACUUAAAUGGCUAAGACUGGGGGCAAUGGCGAGUAUUUUACGUGGACACGGGAGACUUGGCGGUAGAUUGUGGUCGCCUUUGUUACUUACCUUCCAAGUGAAAGGCGUACGAUUAGAGAUGGACAAAAAGAUGGAGCAUAACUGCUUGGUUGAGAUCACACAGAGCUUGGUCAGAACUGGGAGCUUCCUCUGUUUAGUACCUGUGAUAUUUAUAAUUGGAGCGAGAGCUUUUUGAAUUGCUUUCUGCCAUCUGGCACUAAAGGCUCAAGAUUGAGUAAGAAGGGACGGUAGUCUCAGUAGUUCCAUCUACUUUUAUCACCUGAUUUGUUUCUUAACCUGUCUCUUGAAGUUGUUUAAAUGGGAGAGAAAAUAAAUGGUGAGACUAAAGCCUUGCAUUGUUACUAUAUUAGAAAGCUUUACGAUGAAUCUACUUUGUAAACAGCAAACAAUCGGGUACUCACCAGAGCUACUGGUGCUGGUACAGGUGAAGAAAGUAAAGGAAACUUCAGAUGUGGUUGAAAGGGCCCAGAAAAUGUAGUUAACACUAAGUUAUGUAACUAGCUAUGGUCACUGACUCUAGCCUUAUUUGGAUGAAGUACAGAUCCAUCUCCCAGAUCAGAGAACUAAAGUUAGGAACUUCCUGCUGCUUCUCCAGAGGCAGAACUGAGCUUUUUCUUUUGAGGAGUGGUAUCUGUGGGGAGGAAUCUAAUGGAGAAGAGUGGUUGCUAGAAAUUACUACUUGGUGUCUAGGUUUUUGUAUUUGUUCCAGUGUUUAUUUGUUUGUUUUUUGAGACAGGGUCUUGCUCUGUCGCCCAGGCUGGAGUGCAGUGGUGUGAUCUUGGCUCAUUGCAGACUCCGCCUCCUGGGUUCCAGCAAUUCUCAUGCCUCAGUCUCCCGAGUAGCUGGGAGUACAGGCCUGUGCCACCAUGCCCAGCUAAUUUUUGUAUUUUUAGUAGAGACGAAGUUUUGCCUUGUUGGCCAGGCUGUUCUUGAACUCCUGGCCUCAAGUGUUCUGCCCGCCUCAGCUUCCCAAAGUGUUGGAUUACAGGCGUGAGCCACUGGGCCAGCCCAGUGUUUUUAAGGACAGUUACAACUGAAACUUUCUUUUUUUUUUUUUGAGACGGAGUCUCACUCUGUUGCCAGGAUGGAGUGCAGUGGUGCGAUCUCGGCUCACUGCAACCUCCACCUCCUGGGUUCAACUGAUUCUCCUGCCUCAGUCUCCCGAGUAGCUGGGACUACAGGCACGCGCCACCAUGCCCAGCUAAUUUUUGUAUUUUUAGUAAAGAAGGGGUUUCACCAUGUUGGCCAGGAUGGUCUCAAUCUCUUGACCUCGUAUUUCGCCCGCCUCGGCCUCCCAAAGUGCUGGGAUUACAGACGUGAGCCACCGCACCCGGCCCAUCUGGAGGUUUUUUGUUUUUUGUGUUUUUUUUUUUGACAACGGAGUCUUGCACUGUCGCCUGGGCUGGAGUGCAGUGGCGCGAUCUCGGCUCACUGCAACCUCCGCCUCCCGGGUUCAAGUGAUUCUCCUGCUUCAGUCUCCCAAGUAGGUGGGAUUACAGGCGCCUGCCACCACGCCCGCUAAUUUUUUUUAUUUUUAGUAGAGACGGAGUUUCAUUACGUUGGCCAGGCUGGUGUCUGGAGGUUUUUAAAAAGCCAGUUCAUAGCUAUUUGUUUCUGAGUGGUAUUGGCCCCAAAGGAAAGAAGAAUUUCUUCAUGAAGGUAGUGCAGGGCCCUAUACAAACUUCCUGAGACCAAGGGUAUGAUGAUCAUUUCGUUCCUAAAUUAUGGUCCUGAAUUUGACAAACCUUUUUCAAGGCACAAAAGAUGUAUGAGCUCCACUGAGUGGAUGACUGUGAUUUCCUUGUCAUCGUCUUUCCCGUUGUUAGUUUUGUUUAAAGACACUUCAGAAUAUUUAACUCUCUGCUCCUGUGCUGGCAGUUUAUCCAAUGCCUGCAAAGAGAAGAGAAAAAAAAAACUUAAGGAGGUUCAUUGUUCACAGCAAAUAGGUCUGCUCUUUUUGGUCUCAGACAUUUGACUGAUAUCUGGAAUGUUAUAUAUGGGUUGUUAUGGAAUUGGAAUUUCCCACCUUUCAGUUCAGGACCCCUUGGAGGUGGUGGCUGCAUCAGAUAAAAAUCAGAUUGUCAGCAAGAAUACCAUUUAAGAUGGUACUGAAAUCACAAAACCUUAGGUUUGCUCAAUAUUGUGUAGCCCAAUUUUGUCAUGGACCAUGCAGCUUCGUUUCUGCAUGCAGUGUUUGUCUGUGGAGAUACUUCUGGUAUAUUGGAGAGAAUUGAAAAAGUGGUUUGCUUUGCUAAUUUCAUGGUGUAAAUGAGUUCCCCUUCUUUUGAAAUGUUAGCCUUGUGUUAGCAAAACAUAAAAUAGAAGGAAACUCAUUACACAGUGUUCUAAUGGUAAGGCAGAACUAAUAAGAGAAUGUGUUUAAAAUUAAUUGUGGGACUGUAAAAAUGAGUGGGUAUGUGAAUGAGUACGGGAUGGGGGAGGAGAGGGAGGGCUUAGAGAUAUUAGAGAUAGUCUUGUUUUCCCAGGAGCCAGCCUGGAUCAUUUGUUGGCAGUACAUAUUGGCUGAAGUCAGUUUUCAUUUCAAGGUAAAUUGGAAAGGGAAAUUAAACCUUAUUGUUUCUCUCUUAAGAGAGAAGGGGGUGCAGGCGGCAGCCAGGGUGGAUGCUGUUGGAAUAGUUGUAGAAGUAACAAGAUUAGUGCUGUAUUUUAACAGAAGGUGACAUCAUGGGCCCCAUUGGACUUGAGUAACCCCGUGCUGCAGCCUUCAUGGUCCCCUUGUCGGAGUGGGUGAUGUCGCUAUACACGUGAACUGCCACAUUGGGGAAAAUCAGGGGCUGAGGCUUUAAUGAAUCUUUACAAAGGAGCAGAACGCAUCCUGAGUCGACCUGUGCAGCUGUGGGGUGCUUGGACAGAAGUACAAACCGGAUGGCAUGUCAGGAGAGGAAGUAAUUAGAACAAUUGGCUCGGGUUCCAGAGUAUGGAUUGGAUAAGGGGAAGGUCCCAACUGGGCAACCCACUCAGGUGCUCCU
rnacentral:lncRNA from 1 species